GAUGAACGCUGGCGGCGUGCCUAAUACAUGCAAGUCGAGCGAACAGAUGAGGAGCUUGCUCCUCUGACGUUAGCGGCGGACGGGUGAGUAACACGUGGAUAACCUACCUAUAAGACUGGGAUAACUUCGGGAAACCGGAGCUAAUACCGGAUAAUAUAUUGAACCGCAUGGUUCAAUAGUGAAAGACGGUUUUGCUGUCACUUAUAGAUGGAUCCGCGCCGCAUUAGCUAGUUGGUAAGGUAACGGCUUACCAAGGCAACGAUGUGUAGCCGACCUGAGAGGGUGAUCGGCCACACUGGAACUGAGACACGGUCCAGACUCCUACGGGAGGCAGCAGUAGGGAAUCUUCCGCAAUGGGCGAAAGCCUGACGGAGCAACGCCGCGUGAGUGAUGAAGGUCUUCGGAUCGUAAAACUCUGUUAUUAGGGAAGAACAAAUGUGUAAGUAACUAUGCACGUCUUGACGGUACCUAAUCAGAAAGCCACGGCUAACUACGUG
rnacentral:rRNA from 1 species